rnacentral:rRNA from 1 species
UGCCAGCCGCCGCGGUUAUACGAAGGGGGCUAGCGUUGUUCGGAAUCACUGGGCGUAAAGCGCACGUAGGCGGACUUUUAAGUCAGGGGUGAAAUCCCGGGGCUCAACUCUGGAACUGCAUUCAAAACUGUUAGUCUAGAGGCCAGGAGAGGAAAGUGGAAUUCCGAGUGUAGGGGUGAAAUCCGUAGAUAUUCGGAGGAACACCAGUGGCGAAGGCGGCUUUCUGGACCGAUACUGACGCUGAGACGCGAAAGCGUGGGGAGCAAACAGGAUUAGAUA